UACGGAGGGUGCAAGCGUUAUCCGGAAUCACUGGGUUUAAAGGGUGCGUAGGCGGCUUCAUAAGUCAGGGGUGAAAGCUUAUCGCUUAACGAUAGAAUUGCCUUUGAUACUGUAAAGCUUGAAAGGGGUUGAGGUCAGCAGAAUGUGGCAUGUAGCGGUGAAAUGCAUAGAUAUGCCAUAGAACACCGAUUGCGAAGGCAGCAGGCUGGGCUGACUUUGACGCUGAGGCACGAAAGCGUGGGGAGCGAACAGG
rnacentral:rRNA from 1 species